UCUGUUGUAUAAAUACACUAGGUCGAGCAAAGAUGAAGAAGAUAUUCUGUGGGCAACAGGCGAAGAGAAUAUUUCUAGGCUCCUCUGCAUAAGUUUUUCUUCUCUCAGAUUGCUAUCUUCAGCAUCAUCAGAUUUCUUUGCCUCUGAGUCUAUGGACUGAUCUUUCUCCUACCAAAGCCAGAAAUAUGGAUAACAAAUUAAACUGACCCCUGAACCAGACACCACAGAACCCUGCAGUUAUGAAUCUGAAUGGUGAUGUUUUGGAAUAUGAAUUUAGUUAUGGACCCAGCUAUUCUGAAGUGGGAAAAACCUGUCCCUGAAACUGAACAAUCCUGAACUUUAAGGUGAGGCAAGAGAGAGCUGUUUCCCCCACAGAUGCAAAAAGACGGACUCCUGGCAAAACAAACAACAGUAUCUGUGCCCCAGCUGAGUGACUGCUGCCACAGAGCAGUAGUGGCUGCCUGAUGGCCUCAGAAGGAACAGAAGCACCAUGCAUUCACCUGUGCAGGUGGGGGC